AGAGUUUGAUCCUGGCUCAGAAUGAACGCUGGCGGCGUGCUUAACACAUGCAAGUCGUACGAGAACACCCUAGCUUGCUAGGGUAAGUAAAGUGGCGCACGGGUGAGUAACGCGUGGGUAAUCUACCUUCGAAUUGGGGAUAACGUUGCGAAAGCGACGCUAAUACCGAAUAACAUCCAUUAAUCUUCGGGUUUUUGGAUCAAGGGUGGCCUCUACAUGUAAGCUACUGUUUGAAGAUGAGCCCGCGUACCAUUAGCUUGUUGGUGGGGUAAUGGCCUACCAAGGCAGCGAUGGUUAGCUGGUCUGAGAGGAUGAUCAGCCACACUGGAACUGACACACGGUCCAGACUCCUACGGGAGGCAGCAGUGAGGAAUUUUGCGCAAUGGGGGAAACCCUGACGCAGCAACGCCGCGUGAGUGAUGAAGGCUUUCGGGUCGUAAAGCUCUGUCAAGUGGGAAGAACCUGCAGUAUGCUAAUAUCAUAUUGCACUGACGGUACCACUGAAGGAAGCACCGGCUAACUCCGUGCCAGCAGCCGCGGUAAUACGGGGGGUGCAAGCGUUAUUCGGAAUCAUUGGGCGUAAAGAGCACGUAGGCGGCCUGGUAAGUCAGAUGUGAAAGCCCGGGGCUUAACCCCGGAAGUGCACUUGAAACUAUUAGACUUGAGUAUGGGAGAGGGAAGUGGA
rnacentral:rRNA from 1 species